AUGGCAUACGUUUUUUUUCCAGGGCUGCUUUGGAUUCCCAGGGAUUCCCAGUUUGGCUCUGCCAGCGAGUGCACUUUAUCGCUGAAUAAUCUGUGUGAGCUGCCGCACACUUUAGCCCUGUUACACGCGUCUGGGAGCUGCUGUUGACAGGUACUAGUAGUCUAGAGAUUGGGGUAUAUGCUCAGUUAUCUGUAUAAUACAGAUCUGUGUGUAUAAAAUAUCCCGGGAUAGUCAGUGCUUCCUGUAUAGUGCUGCUCUCUGUCUUGGGAUAUUAUACACAAA